rnacentral:rRNA from 1 species
UACGAAGGGGACUAGCGUUGUUCGGAAUCACUGGGCGUAAAGCGCACGUAGGCGGAUUCGUAAGUCAGGGGUGAAAUCCCGGGGCUCAACCUCGGAACUGCCUUGAUACUGCGGGUCUUGAGUCCGAUAGAGGUGGGUGGAAUUCCUAGUGUAGAGGUGAAAUUCGUAGAUAUUAGGAAGAACACCGGUGGCGAAGGCGGCCCACUGGAUCGGUACUGACGCUGAGGUGCGAAAGCGUGGGGAGCAAACAGG